UGAGGUCAUGGUCAAAUAAAACCUGCACGACUGACAUAAAGAUCAUAAAAUAUUUCCAUACACCAAAUAUAGUUGACCUAUGGCAUAUAGUAUUAGAUAAAAAGACCAAAACUCAAAAAGAUAACUUUGACCACUGAACCAUAAAAAUAAGGUCAAGGUCACAUGACAUCUGCCCGCUAGACAUGUACACCUUACAAUCAUUCCAUACAACAAACAUAGUAAACCUAUUGCAUAUAGUAUGAGAAAAACAGACCAAAACACAAAAAUUUAACUAUAACCACUGAACCAUGAAAAUAAGGUCAAGGUCAGAUGACACCUGCCAGUUGGACAUGUACACCUUACAGUCCUUCCAUACACCGAAUAUACUAGCCCUAUUGCUUAUAGUAUCUGAGAUAUGGACUUGACCACCAAAACUUAACCUUGUACACUGAUCCAUGAAAUGAGGUCGAGGUCAAGUGAAAACUGUCUGACAGACAUGAGGACCUUGCAAGGUACGCACAUAUCAAAUAUAG
rnacentral:lncRNA from 1 species